UCGGAGGUAUUUGAGGUCCUUGGUCUCCUUAUAUGGCUUGGGCAAUCCUCACUUUAUAAGCUAGCUUUUGGGGUUGAGUUAGGCCCAAUGUCCAUUCUUAUCAUGGUAUCAGAGCCAGGCCCAUCCCAAUUAUUGUUACCGGUUAGGCCCAAGGUCCAUUCUUUUCAUGGUAUCAGAGCCAGGCCCAUCCAAUUAUUGUUACCGAUGUUGGGCCCCCAUUUAUGUUGUCCACGCUCCAGAGAUCUGGGCGUGAGGGGGUGUUGAGUUGUUCCACAUCGGAGGGAUUUGAGGUCCUUGGUCUCCUUAUAUGGCUUGGGCAAUCCUCACCUCAUAAGCUAG
rnacentral:lncRNA from 1 species